AGCAGCCGCGGUAAUUCCAGCUCCAAUAGCGUAUAUUAAAGUUGUUGCAGUUAAAAAGCUCGUAGUUGAAUUUCGGGAUCAAUUAAUUGGUCGUGCCUCUGGUACGUACUGAUUUUAUUGGUUUCUCCCUUCUGACGAACCAUGAUGUCAUUAAUUUGGUGUCGUGGAGAAUCAGGACUGUUACUUUGAAAAAUUAGAGUGUUUAAAGCAAGCUAACGCUUGAAUACAUUAGCAUGGAAUAAUGAAAUAGGACGUUUGAUCCUAUUUUGUUGGUUUCUAGGAUCGACGUAAUGAUUAGUAGGGAUAGUUGGGGGCAUUAGUAUCCAAUUGUCAGAGGUGAAAUUCUUGGAUUUAUUGAAGACUAACUACUGCGAAAGCAUUUGCCAAGGAUGUUUUCAUUAAUCAAGAACGAAAGUUAGGGGAUCGAAGACGAUCAGAUACCGUCGUAGUCUUAACCAUAAACUAUGCCGACUAGGGAUCGGAUGAUGUUAAUUUUUUAAUGUACUCAUUCGGCGCCUUA
rnacentral:misc_RNA from 1 species